rnacentral:rRNA from 1 species
UAAUGCUGGUGCAAGCGAUAAUCGGAUUCACUGGGCGUAAAGAGCAUGUAGGCGGAGUGGAAAGUUAGAUGUGCAAGCCCGGGGCUCAACUCCGGAUCCGCAUCUAAAACUACCAUUCUGUAGGAUGGACGGAGAAAAGGGAAUUCCACGUGUAGCGGUGAAAUGCGUAGAUAUGUGGAAGAACACCGGUGGCGAUGGCGCUUGUCUAGUUUAUUCCUGACGCUGAGAUGCGAAAGCAAGGGGAGCAAACAGG